rnacentral:rRNA from 1 species
UACGUAGGGGGCAAGCGUUGUCCGGAUUCAUUGGGCGUAAAGAGCGUGUAGGCGGCCAGGUAGGUCGGUUGUGAAAACUGGAGGCUUAACCUUCAGAGGUCGACCGAAACCAUCUGGCUAGAGUCCGGGAGAGGAGAGUGGAAUUCCUGGUGUAGCGGUGAAAUGCGCAGAUAUCAGGAAGAACACCCGUGGCGAAAGCGGCUCUCUGGAACGGUACUGACGCUGAGACGCGAAAGCGUGGGGAGCGAAACAGG